rnacentral:lncRNA from 1 species
CCAUCUCAUUUAUAUUUCUUCACUUUCACCCUUACUCGGUGUACGAUCCAUUAGGUUCCAAUUAGCGAGGUAGUGGGCGAUUGUUACUCUUAACGAUCGAUUGUGAAUUGAAACUACAUUUCAAUUCUCCCUUUGAUUAUGAUUAGUGUUUGCUAAUCUUCAGGGCUUCCACAAGCCAUGAGUGACACCUAGCAGCAUGUCAUGGCUGCCCAAGCUAAAUAGAAUUGGUUGGAGAACCUAUCCAGUUACAAUUACAAUGCAAUACAGUCAUUCUCUAAUACAAUACUCUUAAUCACAUUGUUUGAGUGAUAGUUUGUAUCAUGUCUACUAUCCAAUGUGAUACUUCUCUGUAUGAUUCAAUUGAAUAUGAUUUGGAACAUACUUCCUAAGUCAUAUUCGUAUGCUUUGGCCAAAGACUCC